ensembl:lncRNA
GUUUGCUUAUUUCAAUACACCGUAGGGUUUUUGGUUUGAACGACCCUCUGAGCUGCUUAGCGUCAGAUUUCUCCAGUGCUCUCAAAUGUGACACAUUUAUAGCGAUUCAUGCUUUGGUUUGUGAUUGCUUAGGCCGGCAGCACCACGUUUCAUUUUCAAGCCACACCAUAUAGCUAGUCACAUCUCAUUAAGUUUGGGGCAGCUUUCUGAAUGCGCUCCAGCAGUUAACAAGAGUAGUAAAGCGAGCCAGAGCGACUGGAACGGCGAGGUGAGGAGAAAGGGACUGAAUGUGUGGCGGAGAAUGAGAGGAAGGUGAGAAGCUUGGCAUGCGCCAAUCCGGGCGCCGCUUGGCAGUGGAGCUCUUGGCAUUGUUAAUGAGUAAAAAGUAAGCCCAAAACCACCAGACUGUGACUGCGCAGGCAUAAUCAAUUGUUGGAAGUGAAACUUGUGUAGAUCAUAAAAAUAUGAACAGCGCCAUUCACCAGAAGUCCCUGAGAGUGUAGAAAAUGUGUUGUUUAUGGUGGCGUUUUACAUUUUUGCUAACAUACAUAAACCUGGAUGGCAGACCUCUGGGAAUAAGCCGGAAUGGAAUGUGUAUCGCUACAAACGUGAAGCUGGACCCUUCAGAAACAAAUGUAAUCCACUGCAUCUACAGGGGCUCAGAUGUCGGGAGUAAAUAAUGACUUCUAUGUUAAUUAUUACAUCCAACAACAGAACAUCUCAAUCACAUAGGAGUCAUUCUUGUCUAGAUCUGCUCCGGCAGUGAAACAAUGGUGGACUGAUGGCGGCUCACUCAGGGCGGGUCUAAGGUAAGAUGCCAGUCCAGUCUUUGCUGAAACGCUACUGUCAAUCAAACUAUCGUGGGAGGGGCCUGUCUGUGUGAUGUCAUAAAGACAGGCAUCUGAGAUUGCCUCGAUUUGAGAAAGGGCCAAAAAUUUUAGUAGAUUAAAAGAAAACACUGGGUGGAUUUUUAUCAUUAUAGUGUGGUUGUGUACACACACUGCCAACACACAUUUCAGUUCAAACAGCUUGUAGAAGCGCAUGUAGCAUCCAAUGACCCCUUUAACAACUACCUUACUAACUAUUAAUAAGCAGCAAAUUAGGAGUUUAUUGAGGCAAAAGUCAUAGUUAAUGAUUUGUUAACACUGAGAAUUUACUAAAAUAAAGUGUGACCAAAUUAUUUUGUUCUAUAAAUAUUGUGUUAUUACUCCAAUCUAUUUAUCUGUCUUUCUUUAUAACAGCACUAAAUCCAUCCAUCCAUCCAUCUGCCCGCACUAAAAAAGCAUUACUUGUGAUGUUUGAUACACAGAAUUCCAGUCUAUCAAUCUUCAGGCUUGUUGUUAAUGAGCAGAUGUGAUUUGUGUUUUUUACUGCUCUCUCUCUCUCUGUAGUUCUUUCUCUCUUUGGGCCAUGUGUUGACUGAGCAGACCAAGUCGUCUGAGCU